CCAGGACCCCAAGAGCACAAGGAUAUCUGGGUCAGGAGCCACAGCUGGGUGGCUGCCGCUGAACCUGGGAACACUGGGCUCCUGAUUGUUCCCAGCCCCUGCCAGCUCCACAGAUUGCACAUCCCCAGUCAAGCCUCCUCCACUGCAGCUGGCUUCCAUGUAGUAGCUGUUCCAGAUGGGCCACCACUGCCACCAACAAGAUGAACAACAAGAAUAUAGCAAGAAACACAACUUCGGAUAUAGCAAAAAGAAAAAUGGGACUGAAAGAAAUUACCUUUCUACUUGACCCCAAGAUGCACUGUCAUGUCAUUAAUUCUGCAAAUGCAUCAGCCUGGCCUAUGUCUGGAGAACACACAGAGGAUAAUUCUAACAAUGUCAAAUCUAGUGGAAAAAGAGCCUAUUGCGAGCACCCCUAUGAGGAGAGAGGGCCAUCUGAAGACGAAUUGAUAUCUCUCAUCAACAGCCAGUAAAAUUCUGAGGCCUGCCUAUAGCUACAUGACAUCUCAAUGCAAGGUCACUUCAGAAGUCUGUAGGCUUCUAUAACAGCACACAGGAUCAAAGGAAGGACCCUCCACUCAAGAAUAAUCUGUCAUGAUUGCGGCUAAUAUCAACAUUAUCCAAGACCUUAUUUAGGUUCCUUGAAAGCUGGUAUCUGUGCAGCUUCCAUUCAGGUGGAAGGUAUUGAAAUCAUCAUAGACUGGCAAAAAUGGCCAAGCGCGGUGGCUCACACCUGUAAUCCCAAUACUUUGGGAGGUCAAGGCGGGCAGAUCACUUGAGCUCAGUAGUUCGAAACCAGCAUGGGCAACAUGGGAAAACCCUGUCUCAACUGAAAUAAAAAAGUUAACUGGA